UGAGUAACACGUGGGUAAUCUGCCCUGCACUCUGGGAUAAGCCUGGGAAACUGGGUCUAAUACUGGAUAUGACCUUUCUCCUUAUUGGGUUUGGUGGAAAGUUUUUCGGUGUAGGAUGAGCCCGCGGCCUAUCAGCUUGUUGGUGGGGUGAUGGCCUACCAAGGCGACGACGGGUAGCCGGCCUGAGAGGGUGAUCGGCCACAUUGGGACUGAGAUACGGCCCAG
rnacentral:rRNA from 1 species